rnacentral:rRNA from 1 species
GACGAACGCUGGCGGCGUGCUUAACACAUGCAAGUCGAACGGAAAGGCCCUGCUUUUGUGGGGUGCUCGAGUGGCGAACGGGUGAGUAACACGUGAGUAUCCUGCCCUUGACUUUGGGAUAACUUCAGGAAACUGGGGCUAAUACCGGAUAGGAGCUCCUGCUGCAUGGUGGGGGUUGGAAAGUUUCGGUGGUUGGGGAUGGACUCGCGGCUUAUCAGCUUGUUGGUGGGGUAGUGGCUUACCAAGGCUUUGACGGGUAGCCGGCCUGAGAGGGUGACCGGACACAUUGGGACUGAGAUACGGCCCAGACUCCUACGGGAGGCAGCAGUGCGGAAUAUUGCACAAUGGGCGGAAGCCUGAUGCAGCAACGCCGCGUGCGGGAUGACGGCCUUCGGGUUGUAAACCGCUUUCGCCUGUGACGAAGCGUGAGUGACGGUAAUGGGUAAAGAAGCACCGGCUAACUACGUG